UACAGAGGUGGCAAGCGUUGUUCGGAAUUACUGGGCGUAAAGGGCGCGUAGGCGGUCCUGUAAGUCCUGCGUGAAAUCCCCCGGCUCAACCGGGGAACUGCGCGGGAGACUGCGGGGCUAGAGUGCAGAAGGGGCAACUGGAAUUCUCGGUGUAGCGGUGAAAUGCGUAGAUAUCGAGAGGAACACCGGAGGCGAAGGCGGCCCACUGGGUCUUUUCUGACGCUGAGGGACGAAAGCUAGGGGAGCGAACGGG
rnacentral:rRNA from 1 species